GCGAGAAUAGCUCAGCUGGAUAGAGCUUGGUGCUGAUAGCGCCAAGGUUGCAGCUGCAUAUUCCUGCAUUGCA